GCGCCACCCGCCACAGUCGCCGUUACCGUUCACUGCUCGUUCGCGCAGUGACCUUGCCUUGAGACGCGACGUGCCGAAUGCGUGUAUUGGUGCGGUAUUCACCCUCGUCGUGUACCGGCGAGUCGCGAAUGUGGCGGUUAUUAAAAUCGCGAGAGAUCCGGAAUUCAUAAUUGCUCGGUGUGUAGAGAAACGAUCGGGAUGUAAUCGCUGGCGCCAACCAAGCCCGCUGGAUGUGUGUGUCGGUACAGCAUCACCCCUGUCGUAUACCGGCGAAUCGUGAAUUGAAUGGCGUGUCGUUAAUUAGCAUAAAUGUAUUCGUGUAUCAAUCUCGAUUUUAAUACGGAAUAAAAAAUUUUAAUCGAGUUCGACGUGCGUGGAUCGUGUACAUUGGUGACCUGUUAUCAUCCGGGCAGGCUAGACUCGAUGCACUGCGAACGAUCAGUGCGAUAUAUCAAUGAGAGCUCAGUUUCCUUCGAAUUAAUCGUCAUAUUGGAAAAAGUGAAACGUUCGUCGUGCAUCGAGUCUAACUGUGCCCGGGUGCAACAUAAUUCGGAGUCGCGAGAGUCUUCUCUUUUCUUUCCUUCUCAUCGCAGUCGUUCCAGUGUACGUCGUGUAUGUCGCGUGUAUUCUUUUGUCUUCCUAGAGUUUGUUUUUCCGUUAUCCCGCGUCGCGAUAAAGGAUGUGUGACGACGCGUCGAAGCGAUCGAAUUAACCUCGAAAUAUCGAGUUAAGUGUCGCCCGAUCGUCAUUAAUUAACUGUAUUUUCGCGAGUGAAUUUUGUGCGAGUGCUGAAUCCUAACCUGAGAGGAGGUGGCGAGCUGAGGGGCAUCGGGCAACGGCGGAGCAACUUUGAGUUCAUGAUACACAUAACUCCGCUGCUGUGCAUGGCGUUGGGUCAUGUAAAGUAAAACUUUGAUCUGCUGAUGAUGGUACAAUUCUCCAAGGCUCAUUUUUUGGCACGUGUCUUGUCGGUUCCGCGACGGGAAGUAUAGAAGGAAUGUGUGUGCUGAUAUGACGCUGAUGGACGAUCGUGUGAUCACCACGUAGGUGUCGGCUGACCGCGAUCGCUUUAGAGGCGAAUACCGCGGU